AUGAACGCUGGCGGCGUGCCUAAUACAUGCCAGUCGAGCGAACGGACGAGAAGCUUGCUUUUCUGAUGUUAGCGGCGGACGGGUGAGUAACACGUGGAUAACCUACCUAUAAGACUGGGAUAACUUCGGGAAACCGGAGCUAAUACCGGAUAAUAUUUUGAACCGCAUGGUUCCAAAGUGAAAGACGGUCUUGCUGUCACUUAUAGAUGGAUCCGCGCUGCAUUAGCUAGUUGGUAAGGUAACGGCUUACCAAGGCAACGAUGCAUAGCCGACCUGAGAGGGUGAUCGGCCACACUGGAACUGAGACACGGUCCAGACUCCUACGGGAGGCAGCAGUAGGGAAUCUUCCGCAAUGGGCGAAAGCCUGACGGAGCAACGCCGCGUGAGUGAUGAAGGUCUUCGGAUCGUAAAACUCUGUUAUUAGGGAAGAACAUAUGUGUAAGUAACUGUGCACAUCUUGACGGUACCUAAUCAGAAAGCCACGGCUAACUACGUG
rnacentral:rRNA from 1 species